AAAUAAUAAUAUUACUAUAAUGAUAAAUCAAUAAUAAUAAAAUAAUAGUAAUAAUAAGAAUAAGAAUAAUUAGAAUAAAUAAAAAUUAGGUUUAGGAGCCGUCGCUACCUUUUUCUCCCCUUUAUAUAUAUAUAUAAUAAAAAUAUUUUUGAUACAAAAUAAUAAUAAUUUUAUUUUGUUGUUCAUUCAGGAUUCUCAAGAUGAUCUACUCGUUUGUUCAGAUUGAAUUUUAAAGCUGAAGCAGACUCUAUCCUUGUGAACCAGCGGUGAUGGCAAGCAGAGCGGUGACUGCAAGCGAAGCGACGUCAAUAUCUCUGUAUGCAAGCGAAGCAGCGUAAAUGUGUGUGUGCAAGCGAAGCGGCGAAAACAAGCGGGAAAAGUGAGCGGGCUGCGCGCAAGCGGAGCGGCGAUUAUACAAGCGGAGUCGGUAUUCUAUUUUUUCUUCAAUUGAAGUGAGAAGCUGAACUCUAUCAUGUUCUUCACCCAAUUUAGGGCAAAAAAAUAAAAAAUAAAAAAUAAAAAAUAAAAAAAUCAAUUUUUAAAAUCCUAAAUUGCCCACAAGUGAAGAAUCCUGCGCAAAAAUUGAUUCCGAAUUUUGGUAAGAAGAAUUUCAAAGCUCUUCAAAAUGGGUUAGUUCAGGUAGAAUUCGAUAUAUACAUUUUCCUCUUUUCUUCCCCCAUUUUCUUUCUCUCCUCACCCGAGUGGAUGCACAAUCCCUUUUUCCUAAUUGCUCUGUCAAGUCUAAGCCCUAGCCGCCGCUGCCGCCUUCAACGUAAUCUCUUUUUCCCCGACGAUUGGAUCCUACUGCAUCACCUUCCUCAAUUCUGAUUGUUCCCGACUCCACUAUCAUUCAUCUUCCGUCCCUCCGAUUCUUAUCAAGGUUGUUCGAGGGCGAACAACAAUUCAAGUGUGAGGAGGGAAGUCAUCGGCACCACCAAAAAUUUUGAAAAAAAAAAUCUGGCUGCAAGACAUGAAUCAGGGAAGUUUUUGAUUCCCUUAUCGAUUAUUUAUGACGGCUUAUUUAUUGAUUGCUAACUUGUUAGAUAGUAGAAUAUGUGCUUCUUAGAUAAAUUAGUAGUUGUAAACCUAGUUGAUUAGGAUAAUUUUCAGAUUAGUGCUGAAGAAGCUGUGUAAUAUAUUAGUUUGCUGCUGUUAGUUUUCUUACUUCAAUCCUUAGUUAUGGUUAGACAAUUAGCAUAGUUAGUUUGUUAUUAGUCUUAGUCGCAUCCUGUUAGUUCGGUUAGCACUAGUUGAGAUAGGUAUAGAAUUAGUUUGCUUAAUUAGUUAGAUUUGUCCAAUUCUGUAUUGUUAAUCAGGUGUUCUGCAAUAGUUUUUAGCUGUAGAUAUUAUGUUGUUUUAGUUCAAUUUUAUUUGUAGUAUUCUGUAUGUUAGAUUAGGUUAGUAUUUUGUAAUUUAUGUUCCUUAGCGUGUCAAUGAAAUAGAGUAUAGUUUGUUGAAUAAUUACUUGAUUUGGUUGGUAAGUUAUGUAAUUGUCUAAUUAAUUAGGUGAAUACAUUGUUGAUUAAUUAGUUGUUAGGUAAACUAAUUUUAUUCCUUAGACUUAGAUCUGUUUCCGUAUGUUUUAUAUUAACUCUUUCUUUCUUAGUCUAAUCAUGUGACUGUGUUUAGAUACAGUUUGCUUUUGUAAUUAAUUAUUUAUUUUAGUUAAUCUGGUUGGGUUAGUAUUUUGUGUGAAAACUAGUAAUCUAGUCCCAGAAUUUUAUUUAUUGUUGUAUGUUUUAGUCCUUUUCUUUGCUAUUGCUAAUUUAGUGGUCUAAUUUUUAUUUUGUAAUUUCCUAUUGCUGUAAAUUUUGUAGUUUGAGUCUAAUUAGUUUUGUUCCUAAUUGUGUUUGUUAAGAUUAAUUUGGAUGCAAUCAUCUUAAUUUCUGAUAAUAUAAUGUGUAUAAUAAUGAUCCAUUAUUUAUUUAACUACUCAUAUUGGUAGAAUUAGUUUAGUCGCAUGUUACAUGCAUAUCUUUCUUUAUUUUUAUAAGCCACAAUAAAUAAAAUAAUGUGUGCUAAUUAAUUUAUUUGGAGUUAAUUUAUUUUGGCUUAAAUUAUUCAUAUUUAUUUUUUUAUUUAUGUUGUUUAAUGUCGAUUAAUUUAUUUUGUGUAAUUUAUUGUUGUCUAAUUUAUUUUGAAAUAAAUUAUUUUAUAUUUAAUUUAUUUAUUUAAAAUAAAAUUAGCCGUGAAAUAUGUUAUUUUUUCGAGUCAAUCGAUUUUCAUUGUGCUUAAUUUGAGUUUGAAAUUGAAUCUAUUCAAUAAUUGAAAUCCUUCUGAGCAUGAGUAUAAAUCAAGAUUUUGAUAAAGUUGGUUGAUAUCCCAUUCGUUUCAUUUAUUCCAUAGUUAGUCUAAUUUGUAGAACUUUCGUCUAUUUAGCUGCGCUUGUUAGCGCAGAGGAUGAACGAAUAGUUUCCUUAAAAUGGGAUUGACGAACGAAUAGUGUGAGGAGGAUGCCAAUUAUCUUUAUAUGCGACUUGACUUGGCACCCAAAAAAAAAAAAAAAUCGACGCAAAAAUGUCGAAAUUAAUUUAUUAUCGUUAGCAAUGUCUACCGGGCUGCCUUGUUUCUUAAUUUAUGAUUUAUUAUGGCGGUUUAUUUAAAGCUUUGAGUCAUCGCAUCAUUUUUAGAAGCUACUUCGAACACUUAAGUUUGAAAAUAUUUCGGGAGACAUAAUUUCGAAUCUUUGCAGAUGAGCAAUAUCGCGUAAAUGGCUUAAGGUCCUGAACUUUAGCUAAGAUUCAUUUACACACUACCGUUGAUAUUGCCGACAAUAUUGGAUCCUUAUUUAGAAAAUAAUUGGUUUAAUUUCAUUAAUUGAAUUUAUUCGAGGACAAAUAAAGGGUAAGUGUGAGGAGUUUGAUAACUCUUGAUUUUGUCGUAUUUUAUAGCUUAUAUUUAUUUAUUUAAUUAUAUGUUUAUGUCGAAUUUUGAUAUUAUUUAUGUUAAUUUAUUCUAAUAAUUGUAUUCAUUUCAUCUUGUUUGUAUAAUUUUAUUUUAUUAGUUUUUAAGUGUUAUUUAUAAUUAUUUUGGUGUAUAACUUAAAUUAAUUGAUGUGUUUCUUGAAUUAUAUUUUUUCGCAUUAUUUACGUGCAAUUUAAGUAUUUAAUUUUAACUAAAUUAAUUUAAUUCAAUAAGUAUUAUUUAUUUAAAGAAAUAUUUAUAAGAUGUUCAUUAUUUAUAUAGGUGAAAUAAUGCUUGAAAACUGAUAUGGGAGCCCAAAACUGGCCUUAAAAAGUGAAAAAAUGGCUUCAGAAGCGAAAAAACAGUCACCGGCGUGAAAGUCAACAAAAGUUAACGGUCCACGCCAGUAAGUCAACGCGCAAAAGUCAAAGUCAACCGAGCACGGAAGACAAGCGACGGCCGCGCGGAAGACAAGCGACGGCCGCGCAGAAGGCGAGCGACGGCUAGCACGGAAGGCGAGCGACGGCUAAUACGAAAGGCAAGCGACGGCUGACACGGGAAGCGAUGACGGCUGCACGGAAACUUUGGCAUUGAAGUGAGCAAAGCGAUGGCGGCUGGCACGGAAGGCAAGCGGCGGGUGACACGGAAAUAUGAGCGGAGCGGAAAGCCAUACGUGGAAGUGAGCGAAGCGGCGGCUGCAUUAAUUCUUGCUGCAUUUAUUGCCGCUUGUCAUCGGUGCAUUUACAGCGCCGCCACAAUAAUUCCUGCACAGAAUUCCGCUGCAUUUAUGUCUCCUGGACCCUCAGCUCCUGCAUUUACUACACUCUCCCAGCUCCGUUAAUUAAAAUCCUGCACUACUUUUUAGCCAAUUUUUGGUUAUUUUUGUGUAAUUUUUAUUCUAAAACCUUCUAGAAAAUAGGUAGUUAUAAAGUAUAAUGUUAUAAAGUGCUUUAUCAUAAAAAGACAGGAAAAACAGUGUAGAUAAAAAAGCGUUAACUUUAUUUCCUUAAA